CCCUUAGAUGUUCUGGGCCGCACGCGCGCUACACUGACGAAUGCAACGAGCUUAUAACCUUGGCCGAAAGGUCUGGGUAAUCUCCAAAUUUCGUCGUGAUGGGGAUAGAUUAUUGCAAUUAUUAAUCUUCAACGAGGAAUGCCUAGUAAGCGCAAGUCAUCAGCUUGCGUUGAUUACGUCCCUGCCCUUUGUAUACACCGCCCGUCGCUCCUACCGAUUGAAUGGUCCGGUGAAGCGUUCGGACCGUGGCCUUUGGACGGUUCGCCGUCUGUUGGCUGCGGGAAGUUCGUUAAACCUUAUCAUUUAGAGGAAGGAGAAGUCGUAACA
rnacentral:rRNA from 1 species